rnacentral:rRNA from 1 species
UACGGAGGGUGCAAACGUUGCUCGGAAUCAUUGGGCGUAAAGCGAGCGUAGGCGGCUCCAUAAGUCGGAUGUGAAAGCCCUCGGCUCAACCGAGGAACUGCCUGUCAAACUGCAUGGCUUGAGACCGGGAGAGGUGAGUGGAAUUCCCAGUGUAGCGGUGAAAUGCGUAGAUAUUGGGAGGAGCACCGGUGGCGAAGGCGGCAUCCUGGACCGACACUGACGCUGAUGCGCGAAAGCCAGGGGAGCAAACGGG